UUGGAGGGCAAGUCUGGUGCCAGCAGCCGCGGUAAUUCCAGCUCCAAUAGCGUAUAUUAAAGUUGUUGCAGUUAAAAAGCUCGUAGUUGAAUUUCGGGGUUAGUAGGUUGGUCAUGCCUCUGGUAUGUACUGGUCCCACUGAUUCCUCCUUCCUGAUGAAUCUUAAUGCCAUUAAUUUGGUGUUUUGGGGAAUUUGGACUGUUACUUUGAAAAAAUUAGAGUGUUUAAAGCAAGCUAACGCUUGAAUACAUUAGCAUGGAAUAAUGAAAUAGGACGUUCGAUCCUAUUUUGUUGGUUUCUAGGAUUGACGUAAUGAUUAAUAGGGAUAGUUGGGGGCAUUAGUAUUCAAUUGUCAGAGGUGAAAUUCUUGGAUUUAUUGAAGACUAACUACUGCGAAAGCAUUUGCCAAGGAUGUUUUCAUUAAUCAAGAACGAAAGUUAGGGGAUCGAAGACGAUCAGAUACCGUCGUAGUCUUAACCAUAAACUAUGCCGACUAGGGAUCGGAUGAUGUUAAUUUUUUAAUGACUCAUUCGGCGCCUUACGGGAAACCAAAGUGUUUGGGUUC
rnacentral:rRNA from 1 species